rnacentral:rRNA from 1 species
GACGAACGCUGGCGGCGUGCCUAAUACAUGCAAGUCGAGCGAAGUUUUUCUGGUGCUUGCACUAGAAAAACUUAGCGGCGAACGGGUGAGUAACACGUAAAGAACCUGCCUCAUAGACUGGGACAACUAUUGGAAACGAUAGCUAAUACCGGAUAACAGCAUUAACUGCAUGGUUGAUGUUUAAAAGUUGGUUUUGCUAACACUAUGAGAUGGCUUUGCGGUGCAUUAGCUAGUUGGUGGGGUAAAGGCCUACCAAGGCGACGAUGCAUAGCCGACCUGAGAGGGUGAUCGGCCACACUGGGACUGAGACACGGCCCAGACUCCUACGGGAGGCAGCAGUAGGGAAUCUUCCGCAAUGGGCGAAAGCCUGACGGAGCAACGCCGCGUGAGUGAAGGAGGAUUUCGGUUCGUAAAGCUCUGUUGUUAGGGAAGAAUGAUUGUGUAGUAACUAUACACAGUAGAGACGGUACCUAACCAGAAAGCCACGGCUAACUACGUGCCAGCAGCCGCGGUAAUACGUAGGUGGCAAGCGUUGUCCGGAAUUAUUGGGCGUAAAGCGCGCGCAGGUGGUUUAAUAAGUCUGAUGUGAAAGCCCACGGCUCAACCGUGGAGGGUCAUUGGAAACUGUUAAACUUGAGUGCAGGAGAGAAAAGUGGAAUUCCUAGUGUAGCGGUGAAAUGCGUAGAGAUUAGGAGGAACACCAGUGGCGAAGGCGGCUUUUUGGCCUGUAACUGACACUGAGGCGCGAAAGUGUGGGGAGCAAACAGG